rnacentral:rRNA from 1 species
AGAAUCAACGCUGGCGGCGUGCCUAACACAUGCAAGUCGAACGAGAAAGUGGAGCAAUCCAUGAGUAAAGUGGCGCACGGGUGAGUAACACGUGACUAACCUACCCUUGAGUGGGGGAUAACCUAGGGAAACCUGGGCUAAUACCGCAUAAUACCUUCGGGUCAAAGGAGCAAUUCGCUUAAGGAGGGGGUCGCGGCCGAUUAGUUAGUUGGCGGGGUAAUGGCCCACCAAGACGAUGAUCGGUA